AGUGUGGAAGUGUGAAAGUGUUUAGGAGAUAUGGGAGUGGCAUAGUUAACUAAAUUAUUUAAUAAGAUUCUAAACUCAAAGAAAAUACCUGAUGAAUGGAGGAGGAGUAUUUUAAUACCUUUUUUUAAAAAUAAUGGAGAUAUACAGAGUUGCUCAAAUUAUAAGGGAAUUAAACUCAUGAGCCAUACUAUGAAGUUGUGGGAGAGAGUUGUGGAGUAUCGACUACGUUAUGAUACUUCUAUCUCUCUCAAUCAAUUUAGCUUCAUGCCCGGUUGUUCAACUAUGGAAGCGAUCUUUCUCUUUAGAAGCUUGAUGGAGAAAUAUAGAGAUGUGAAGAAAGAUCUACACAUGGUUUUUAUUGAUUUAGAGAAGGCUUAUGAUAGUGUUCCAAGAGAUGUCUUAUGGAAUGUGUUAGAACAAAAGAGGGUAUCAAUUAGGUACAUACAAGUGUUGAAAGAUAUGUAUGAAAGAGUAACUACUAUUGUGCCCACAGUGGGAGGGGACACAAGAGAUUUUUCAAUCUCAAUUGGAUUACACCAAGAAUCAGUUAUUAGUCCUCACCUUUUUACAUUAGUUUUAGAUGAAUUGACGAAACAUAUACAAGAGAGUAUUCCUUGGUGCAUGAUGUUUGCGGAUGAUAUUGUUCUGAUAGAUGAGACGCGAGAAGGAGUCAAUAGAAAGUUAGAGCUUUGGAGAAGUACUCUAGAGUCAAAAAGCUUUAAGUUAAGUAGAACGAAGACAGAAUACAUGCAUUGCAAGUUCAGUGAAGGCCAAACUGAUAAUAGGGAAGAAGUUAGUUUGGAUGGAGUGGUACUGUCCCAAAGUAAUCACUUUAAAUAUCUCGGCUCAGUCCUUCAAGUAGAUGGGGGAUGUGAGGAGGAUGUUAGUCAUAGGAUUAAAGCCGGAUGGUUGAAGUAGAGACGUGCCACGAGAGUUUUAUGUGAUCGUAAGAUUCCCAAUAAGUUGAAAGUAGAAUUUUAUCGUACAACCAUACGACCGGCUAUGUUAUAUAGUAGUGAGUGUUGGGCAUUGAAGGAGUCGUGUGUGUCUAAAUAAGAGUUGCAGAGAUGAGAAUGUUAAGGUGGAUGAGUGGCCAUACUAGACUAGAUAAAGUCCGUAAUGAGAAUAUUAGAGAAAAGGUAGGAGUGGUACCAAUUGAGGAUAAGUUGAGAGAAGGGAGAUUGAAGUGGUUUGGUUAUGUGAAGCGUAGACAUACGGAGGCUCCAGUUAGACAAGUAGAACAUAUUAGGUUAGAGGAUAGAAAGAAAAAAAGAGGUAGACCCAAAUUGACUUGGAGGAGAGUAGCACAACAUGACCUAGAAACAUUACACAUUUCUGAGGAUUUAACCCAUAAUCGUGUAGAGUGGAGAAAGCAAAUCCAUAUAGCCGACCCAAAUUUUUGGGAUAAAUGUUGAGUUGAGUUAAGUUGAGGGAAUAUUCCCUAGAAUAUACUAUUAUCAAAUUUAACUCCGCCUAAGUAGUUUACGUUUAGCCGGUCCUAAGUCCGGACAAAGGAGGAGGGUUGCUGUAGGUGACAACCAGUGUAAAAAUUUCGUUACACCUUAUGAUAUGGAUUCAAAUGAUAUAAACGUUGGGAUAUCCUCUACUUAUAACGCGCUACAUUGGAGCCCGGGUGUAGUGAGAAAUAUGCAAGGGUGUAGGGCGUUCAUUGAAAGCGAUAAGCCAUGCCAGCGCCUGUGUGUGGUGUUAAGUGAGCAAGGGUUCUCACAUCAUGGACGGGUGUGGGUAAAGAAGUUAGUCUAUAGGACAGAUAGUAGAGCAGAUAGUGGAAUAAAACACAAGAUAGAUAUAGAAAAUAAUAGAAGAUAUCAUAGAAGGAGACCAAUUAGGAAGUAACAGGAUAGGAGGAGGAUCAUGGUUAGUACUUGGAAUGUUAGAUCACUUACAGGAAAAUUAAUGGAGCUUGUGGAUACCUUGGAAAGGAGAAGGGUGAAUAUUGCUUGCAUUCAGGAGACUAAAUGAGUAGGAGAUAAAAGCAAGGAAGUGGGUAAUUCAGGGUACAAAUUGUGGCUUACCGGAAAGGAGAGAAACAAGAACGAAGUGGGCAUAAUCAUAAACAGGGCAUUAAAAGACGCUGUAAUAGCUGUGAAAAGAGUAGGAGAUUUAAUUAUACUAGUAAAGCUAGUACUAUAAGGAGAAAUAAUAAAUGUAGUUAGUGCUUAUGACCCACAAAUAGGACUAGAUAGUGAGAGUAAACAAAGGUUUUGGGAAGAUAUGGAUGAUUUAAUGCAAAGCAUACCGAAUAAAGAUAAUGUUUUCAUUGGUGGAGUUUUGAAUGGACAUGUAGUAAGUGAUAGGCAAGGUUAUGAGAAUGUUCAUGGAGGUUUUGGUUUUGGCAAUCGAAAUGAGGAGAGAAAAAACAUCCUGGAUUUUGCUAUGGCAUACGACCUAAUACUAGUAAAUACCUACUUUAUAAAAAGAGAGUCACAUUUAGUGACUUUCAAAAGUGGGCAACAUAGAAGCCAAAUCGACUUCCUCUUAACUAGGAAGACAAAUAGAGCUCUAUGUAAGGAUUGCAAGGUCAUUCCAGGGGAGACUUUAACAAGUCAACAUCGGUUACUGGUCUUGGAUGUCAAGUUUAGGAAUAAUUUAAGUAAAGUCAGAAGAAAUAGUGUAGCUCGAACAAAGUGGUGGGAGUUCAAAGGAGUAAAGCAAGUGAAGUUCAAAAAUGAGAUUCUCGAGUCCGAAGCAUGGAAGCUGGAUAUGGAGGCCAAUGAUAUGUGGAUACAGAUGGCAUCAAAGAUUAGAGAAGUAGCUAGAAAAGUACUUGGAGAGUCUAAAGGACAUGGACCACCCUCAAAAAGAGAUGGUGGUGGAACGAGGAAGUACAAAAGGCAGUGAAGAGAAAAAGGGAAUGGUACAAAAAAUUACCUAAAUGUGAUAAUAAUGAGGCAUAUGAACAGUACAAGAUAGCAAAGAAAUAGGCAAAAAAGGCAGUUAAUCAAGAGUACAGGCUUUUGAAAAGUUAUAUGAGAAACUUGAAACUAGAGAAGGGGAGAAAGAUAUUUAUAGAUUAGCAAGGAGGAGAGAAAGGAAAUGUCAAAAUCUCAAUCAAGUUAGGUGCAUUAAGGCUAAAGAAGGAAAAGUGUUGGUGAAAGAUGAGGACAUUAAAGAAAGAUAGAGAAAUUAUUUUAAUGAUCUCUUUAAUAAUAGUCAAAAUGGUAAUAGCGUGAAUAUAGACUAUAGAGCAAUAGAAAAAAAUAUGAAUUAUACUAGAAGGAUUAGAUUUUUAGAAGUAAAGGAAACACUUAAGAGAAUGAAAGUAUGUAAAGCCUGUGAACCCGAUGGAAUACCAAUUGAAGUGUGGAAGUGUUUGGGAGAUAUGAGAGUGGCAUGGUUAACUAAAUUAUUUAAUAAGAUUCUAAACUCAAAGAAAAUUCCUGAUGAAUGGAGGAGGAGUAUUUUAGUACCUAUUUUUAAAAUUAAGAGAGACAUACAGAGUUGUUCAAACUAUAGGGGAAUUAAACUCAUGAGCCAUACUAUGAAGUUGUGGGAGAGAGUUGUGAAGCAUCGACUACGUCAUGAUACUUCUAUCUCUCUUAAUCAAUUUAGCUUAAUGCCUGGUCGUUCAAUUAUGGAAGCGAUCUUUCUUAUUAGAAACUUGAUGGAGAAAUAUAGAGAUGUGAAGGAAGAUCUACACAUGGUUUUUAUUGAUUUGGAGAAGGCUUAUGAUAGUGUUCCAAGAGAUAUCUUAUGGAGUGUGUUAGAACAAAAGAGGGUAUUUAUUAGGUACAUACAAGUGUUAAAAGAUAUGUAUGAAGGAGCAACUACUAUUGUGCACACAGUGGCAAGGGACACGAGAUUUUCUGAUCUCAAUUGGAUUACACCAAGGAUCAGCUAUAAACCCUUACCUUUUUACAUUAGUUUUAGAUGAAUUGACGAAACAUAUACAAAAGAGUAUUCCUUGGUGCAUGAUGUUUGCGGAUGAUAUUGUUCUGAUAGAUGAGACGCGAGAAGGAGUCAAUAGAAAAUUAGAGCUUUGGAGAAGUACUCUAGAGUUAAAAGGCUUUAAGUUAAAUAGAACGAAGACAGAAUACAUGCAUUGCAAGUUCAGUGAAGGCCAAACUGAUAAUAGGGAAGGAGUUAGUUUGGAUGGAGUGGUACUGUCCCAAAAUAAUCACUUUAAAUAUCUCGGCUCAGUCCUUCAAGUAGAUGGGGGAUGUGAGGAGGAUGUUAGUCAUAGGAUUAAAGCCGGAUGGUUGAAGUAGAGACGUGCCACGGGAGUUUUAUGUGAUUGCAAGAUUCCCAAUAAGUUGAAAGGAAAAUUUUACCGUAUAGCCAUACGACCGGCUUUGUUAUAUAGUAGUGAGUGUUGGGCAUUGAAGGAGUUGUAUGCGUCUAAGAUAAGAGUUGCAGAGAUGAGAAUGUUAAGGUGGAUGAGUAGCCAUACUGGUCUAGAUAAAGUCUGUAAUGAGAGUAUUAGAGAAAAGAUAGGAGUGGUGCCAAUUGAGGAUAAGUUGAGAGAAGGGAUCUAAGGUAGUUUAGUCAUGUGAAGCGUAGACAUACGGAGGCUCCAGUUAGACAAGUAGAGAACAUUAGGUUAGAGGAUAGAAAGAAAAAAAGGGGUAGACCUAAAUUGACUUGGAGGAGAGUAGUACAACAUGACCUAGAAGCAUUACACAUUUCUGAGGAUUUAACCCAAAAUCGUUUAGAGUAGAGAAAACGAAUUCAUAUAGCCAACCUCAAAUUUUUGGGAUAAAGGUUUAGUUGAGUUGAGUUGAGUAUAAUAUUAUCAAAUUUCCCUGUAAAUAAGGCUAGGGAAGAGGAAAAGGGCUCCUUCCUCUCAGACACUCUCUCUCUCUCUACUCUCUUUCUCUCUCUACUAGAAUACUGCCCCUUCUAACUUGAGUAUCAGAGGAUCUUUACUGGAGACAUUCUUGGUAGACCUCUGGCCCUUUUUUCUCAUGCUUGCAGGUCUCCUAUAGCUGAUAUGACAUAAGUGGGACCCGUAUUAGUGAAGCAACAGUUUUGUGCUUCAUCAUUUUUCUUUCCUGCUAACAAUUUCAUGUGUUAAUCAAUACCCAUACUUAGAAUUCUUAGACAAUUAUUUAUGGCAGGUCUCUAAUAAUAUUGGAUUUUCUUUUUCUCUGUUAUUGCGAUGCUGCUUAUAUUAUUUUUUGCCCUCCAGUCAUGUUCCAUUCAGUUGUUAAAAAUGGGAACAACUUUAGUUACUUGUCUGCACUCUCUCAUUUUAGCAUAAAGCAUCCCUUGUUUAGGCAUAGAAUCAUUUUUCUCCUGUUUUCCCAGCUUUCUCUAACAUUCUUCUUCCCUUCCAUUUUUGGUAUCUGUGCUCCACUGAAGUUUUACAUGCUGAUGAAUGGAUGUUCCAUUGAUAGUUUUGUGAGACAUAAUGAUGAUCCUUGGACAAUGAAUCAAAUGCAUUCACAUUUCUACUUGGAGAAAGUGUUUCAUAACUCAAACUCAGAUUAACCACUAUUAAGGUGGUGUUAUCGAAAAAUGUUGCUCAUGGUCAAAGGAUGAAUGACUGCGACUCACAGAGUGAUUCACGCAUUGUUUCCCACAGUGAUUCUGAUAGAAAAAAGGCUCAUGUGGAGUCAAAGCGAAUGCUGGUUUGAUCACGGCAAGUUGGUUCAUAGGAUAAGCCAUCUGUCAUGCACCGGCUCCUUGUUCUGGAUCUACCUUGAUCCUACUGUCUCUCCUGAGGAACCCACACAAUUGAAGAAUAGGGUCAAUUCUAAUACCACUUGUCACGGGCUGGGUCUCCAUUCCAGAGGUGUGAUAACAAAAAGUGCACACUUACAGUGAUGGAGAAAUUUAGAUCCUCAAUUUUGACAAUUCUGAAAAGAAAAUGGCCAGAUGUUUAGCCCAGUAUGUAUGGAAACUAGUGGGAAGGAGACCUGGCACUUCUGUAAGUCAAAAGCAUUCUCUUUCAACAGAGUCAUCCAUGGAUGCUGUGAUGUUUUAGGCAACAUAAGAGAGUGCUCCAGGUGGAUGAAACUGUUAGUGGUGUGCCACUCGAAACAGAGAUUAGAUUUUCUACUUGUCCCCCAGUCCUGCCUAUAUUGAUAGAUUGACAGUGCUGAGUUUGCCUGUGGCCUCUUUCUGUGCUGAAAGAGUUGUGAAGUAUUGCAAUUUUCUGGGCCUUUGUCUAUGGCAUUUCUAGGGUAUGGUGUUAAACUUGCAGUUCAUCAAUUCCAUGAUAUGGAUAUAAAGUUAUCCUUGACAUGCCAUGUUACGAACUGAGCUUGCUAAUAACCAGGAAUUGGCACCUCUGACAGGUUAUUUUGAGCAGGCUUUCUACGCUCAACAUUACGGAGCAUAAUUUGGCAUAACAGCAAAAUGAUAAUAUGAUAUGUGAAGAACCUGAUUAAUUGGGAUCAACUCUUUUCACCGAGAGUACGGAUCUCAGCAUCUUAAAAAAGUUGGUUUUCUAUUUAAAAUAAUGGUAAUACAAUUGCUUUUUGCUAAGCAUUUUAAUUGUGGUUAUAUUUCUUCUGCCAAUUCUUUGUCUUUGCUUGCGCACUUUAGAAGGCGGGGAAGAAAAAGAAAAGGUGGGAAAGAUGCUGCUCUUCUUUAUCUUUCAAUGUUUAAUAUUCUGUUUAACUGGAAUAUGAAAAGAGCCUUUCCAUCAAAUAUACCAUUGGAAAAUAAUCAUAUUAUCUGAUAUAUCUUUUCUUUUAGUUCAACCCUGGUGCUGAUGUGAUGGCUUUAGAUAGGAUUUUUGGUUCCAUGGCACCAUUGUAGGAGAUCCAUGACACUAGAACCUCAAGCACACCUGCUAGAGCACUUACUCGUAGCCACAGAAGAUCUGAGCGUAGGCGUCAGAUGCUUCUCCAUCAUGAAUCAUGAAGACUUGAAGCCAGCAUAGCAGUAUGUUUAAACUUGAUGGAUAUCUAGGAGGAAACAAGAAAAGGGAACUGCUUUAAAUCGGAAAGCCAACAUCAUGUCCUGAUAAAUAAGAAUGUAUGAUAAAUUCCAAGGCCAAUUUUUUGUUUCUUUCAAUGGGCAACUCCAAUGAAGUAGAGCCUAGAAUAUGUAUGCAAGUUGCCAUCCAAA